UACGGGGGGGGCAAGCGUUGUUCGGAUUCACUGGGCGUAAAGGGUGCGUAGGCGGUCGGGUAAGUCUGACGUGAAAUCUUCAAGCUCAACUUGGAAACUGCGUCCGAUACUAUUCGGCUAGAGGAAUGGAGGGGAGACUGGAAUACUUGGUGUAGCAGUGAAAUGCGUAGAUAUCAAGUGGAACACCAGUGGCGAAGGCGAGUCUCUGGACAUUUCCUGACGCUGAGGCACGAAAGCCAGGGGAGCAAACGGG
rnacentral:rRNA from 1 species